GUGAGCUUUCCGCCAAUCCGAGCGCCACCUGGGGGUGAUGGACGCCGGCCUGUGGCCAAUGAGGAGCUAACCACAUCUGCAUUGCCCUUUCUUUCUUCUGUCCUGAGUCCUGAAGAACUCAAGGAUUGCUGGAAACAACCAAAGAUUUGAUAGCCCCUGUAAAAGAUGCUUAAUUCCAUUUGCAAGGAUUAUACUCAGGUCCUGCCCUUGUCGCUGGGGAAGUCACAGCCAGCUGAACUGUGUGGUGUAUUUGCAUACAAUAAAAAGUGGACAUGCAAGAAAA